CAGCAGCCGCGGUAAUACGUAGGGUGCGAGCGUUAAUCGGAAUUACUGGGCGUAAAGCGUGCGCAGGCGGUUAUAUAAGACAGAUGUGAAAUCCCCGGGCUCAACCUGGGACCUGCAUUUGUGACUGUAUAGCUAGAGUACGGUAGAGGGGGAUGGAAUUCCGCGUGUAGCAGUGAAAUGCGUAGAUAUGCGGAGGAACACCGAUGGCGAAGGCAAUCCCCUGGACCUGUACUGACGCUCAUGCACGAAAGCGUGGGGAGCAAACAGGAUUAGAGACCCCAGUAGUCCCUGUCUCUUAUAA
rnacentral:rRNA from 1 species